rnacentral:lncRNA from 10 species
AGUCCAUUUAAUAAGAAAGGGCCUGCUCCAUCCAUGUGAGGCAGGACAAUCUUAAGUAGUUAGGGAUUUUUCAAUACAGAGAAGUUUUCCAAAUGAGAUCUAGUUGGGGGGCAGUGGAGUUGACCAUCUCCUACCACCAUGAGUGUGUGACCCCGGCAGUAUCUGCCAGGAAUUGCUGGCCCCAGCACAUCUGUAGGGAGCAGCAUUGGAGGGCUGAGGUGCUGUCUGCUGUGGAUAGAGUUGUAUCUUCCCAAAUUCAUAUUUUGUCCUCCCUAAACCCCCAGGGAGUGUGUUGAAGACAGGACCUUUAAGGAGGUGACUGAGGUGAAAUGAGGUAAUAAGGAUGGAGCCCUGCUCCCAUAAACCUGGUGCCUUUAGGUCCCUGAUGUCCUUGAUUGCCAGGUUUCUUAUAUGAAAUCAUCCGUGUUCUUCAGAGGUGUGGUGAUGAUAUUGAAGGUGUGUGUGUGUGAAUUCCUCUCCUCCCCAGGAGGUUCCAUGGCCCCUGUGUGCAUUUGUCCACCCCAUCCCAAGAACCUUUGAACUAAAUAUGAAGCAGGGAAGCCUUUAUAAACAUGGAAGGAAGCCUGAUUAUGUUAUUUCCCUUGGAACAAAAGGUGCCAAUCUACUCUCUCUGUAUGUAUGUUACAGG